AAGAAAGCUGUGGGGCUUUUCCUCAUUAAUAGGCUAAUGUUAGUCUUCCGGUCUUGCUAAUGAUAUUAGCUACAUUGCUGAAGGGCUAGUAAGUUGGCUUGCAGCGAUGGAGAGGGAAGACGUGCUGUAAAUAAACAACCCCCCACAAAAUGACCAACACAGCAACAAGUGCAGUUGGAUAACACACGACAUGGACGCUUUAUAUCCAUGAAUGAAAAGAGAAAUUACCUCAGCGUCAAAAGCGAGCUGGGCCCCUGUGAGCUGCCCUCAGAGACCCCUUCUGCUCUCAUCCAGAUCCAGCAAGACAGAGGAAAAAGACAGAGCACAGAUCACAGCUAAUGCACUGAAUCACCAACCACAGCAUAACAUGCUGAUAAAAGAUGCCUUUACAGGCUACGGCCUGCCACGCCUCCAGCCUGCAGAGCAACCCGAGGACUGUCUCUCCUCCCCUCCCUUUACUCCGGCCCCCAGCUGAGGCUGUUUAGACAGCCCAUUAACAUGCUCGUUCUGCCGUCACUAAACAAUCAUACAACGGCUGGUUAGGCAUCCGACUGACCGUAUCUGAGAGGUUAUGGCCCUAACCGUGGCUCUCCUAUUGGCAGUGACAUGAGGCUCUAACACUUGAUAUACUUCCCGGCAGGAUUCCAGAUUCAUUUCUCAGGCCUCAGUGACACUGGCUAGAAGGCGUACAGAAUAGCAUUUACUUUUCUAGCUUGUACUGUGCAGAAAGUUUGACAAGAAUAGAUGAGUUAGUGAUGGUGCUAAGAUGUAUUUUUGAGCAUAUUACUUGUAGAGUUUCUCCUUAAUAAGGAUAGAUGGUGUUAUACUGUAUGUUGUAGAGACUGCAAA